AUUUAUUUAGUAUAAAAAGUAUAUUUAACUUCCAAUUAAAAAGUCUUUGUUAAGAAUAAAUA
rnacentral:tRNA from 1 species